rnacentral:rRNA from 1 species
ACAAAGAGAAGCGACCUCGCGAGAGCAAGCGGACCUCAUAAAUGCGUCGUAGUCCGGAUUGGAGUCUGCAACUCGAUCCAGAAGUCGGAAUCGCUAGUAAUCGUAGAUCAGAAUGUACGGUGAAUACGUUCCCGGGCCUUGUACACACCGCCCGUCACACCAUGGGAGUGGGUUGCAAAA